UCCAGCUCNCAAUAGCGNAUACUAAAGCUGCUGCGGUUAAAAAGCUCGUAGUUGGAUCUCAGUUCCAGACGAGUAGUGCAUCUACCCGAUGCGACGGCUCGGACUGAACAUCAUGCCGGUUCUUUCUUGGUGCACUUCAUUGUGUGCCUCGAGAUGGCCGGUGCUUUUACUUUGAAAAAAUUAGAGUGCUCAACGCAGGCGAGUCGCCUGAAUAAACUUGCAUGGAAUAAUAGAACAAGACCUCGUUUCUGUUCUGUUGGUUUUUGG
rnacentral:rRNA from 1 species